GGCCUAAUGGUCUAGAAGUAUGAUACUCGCUUUGGGUGUUUGCCGGCUGCGAGUGGUCCUGGGUUCAAUUCCCAGUUAGGCCC
rnacentral:tRNA from 1 species